GAAAUGCGAUAAGUAAUGUGAAUUGCAGAAUUCAGUGAAUCAUCGAAUCUUUGAACGCAACUUGCGCUCCUUGGUAUUCCUUGGAGCAUGCCUGUUUGAGUAUCAUGAAAUCUUCAAAGUAAAUCUUUUGUUAACUCAAUUGGUUUCUACUUUGGUAUUGGAGGUCUUUGCAGCUUCACACCUGCUCCUCUUUGUUCAUUAGCUGGAUCUCAGUGUUAUGCUUGGUUCCACUCGGCGUGAUAAGUUAUCUAUCGCUGAGGAUACUGUAAAAGGUGGCCAAGGUAAAUGCAGAUGAACCGCUUCUAAUAGUCCAUUGACUUGGACAAUACUUUUAUGAUCUGAUCUCAAAUCAGGUAGGACUACCCGCUGAACUUAAGC
rnacentral:misc_RNA from 1 species